AUUUGAGAUUACACCAACGAUGUUUCGUUGUUCUGUUACCUAGGAUGCAUAAACAUAGGGGAAAACACUUUCCUAGUUCCUUUCGCUCAAAUACAUCGAAGGGUUCGCGUCAUAUGUUAAGCUACGGAUCACGCUACAGGCAUCAUCUGAUACAUCUAUCCCUAGCGUGAAAGCCAUUGACAAUCGCUACAGAGAAAGAGUCUCUGAUGACGCAGGGACAACACUCUCCAACGUAAAAGAAACUUACAAUCGCUUCAAAUAUAAAAUCUUUGAUGUCGAC